rnacentral:rRNA from 1 species
UACGAAGGUGGCAAGCGUUGUUCGGAUUUACUGGGCGUACAGGGAGCGUAGGCGGUUGGGUAAGCCCUCCGUGAAGUCUCCGGGCCUAACCCGGAAAGUGCGGAGGGGACUGCUCGGCUAGAGGAUGGGAGAGGAGCGCGGAAUUCCCGGUGUAGCGGUGAAGUGCGUAGAGAUCGGGAGGAAGGCCGGUGGCGAAGGCGGCGCUCUGGAACAUUUCUGACGCUGAGGCUCGAAAGCGUGGGGAGCAAACAGG